GUGCCAGCCGCCGCGGUAAUACGAAGGACCCGAGCGUUAUCCGGAUUUAUUGGGUUUAAAGGGUGCGUAGGCGGAUUAAUAAGUCAGUGGUGAAAGCCCAUCGCUUAACGAUGGAACUGCCAUUGAUACUGUUAGUCUUGAGUAUGGUUGAGGUGGGCGGAAUGUGUCAUGUAGCGGUGAAAUGCUUAGAUAUGACACAGAACACCAAUUGCGAAGGCAGCUCGCUAAACCAUAACUGACGCUGAGGCACGAAAGCGUGGGUAGCAAACAGGAUUAGAUACCCCCGUAGUCC
rnacentral:rRNA from 1 species